rnacentral:tRNA from 1 species
GAAAAUGCCUAGAUGAGUAUAUUAACUCCAUAAACA